rnacentral:rRNA from 1 species
UACGAAGGGUGCAACCGUUGCUCGGAAUUAUUGGGCAUAAAGCGCACGUAGGCGGCUUGGCAAGUCGGAUGUGAAAUCCCUCGGCUCAACCAAGGAAGUGCAUCCGAAACUGCCGAGCUUGAGUACUUAAGAGGAUCGCGGAAUUCCCGGUGUAGAGGUGAAAUUCGUAGAUAUCGGGAGGAACACCAGUGGCGAAGGCGGCGAUCUGGGAAGAUACUGACGCUGAGGUGCGAAAGCGUGGGGAGCAAACAGG